UGGCGGACGGGUGAGUAAUGCAUGGACCUACUGAACGUGGGGGAUAACGUAGGGAAACUUACGCUAAUACCGCAUACGUCUGGGAGAAAGCAGGGGACCUUCGGGCCCUGCGCGGUCAGACGGACCGAUGUUCGAUUAGAGUUGGUGAGGUAAUGGCUCACCAAGGCGACGAUCGAUAGCUGGUCUGAGAGGAUGAUGCCACACUGGAACUGAGACACGGUCCAGACUCCUACGGGAGGCAGCAGUGGGGAAUAUGACAAUGGGCGCAAGCCUGAUCCAGCAAUGCCGCGUGUGUGAAGAAGGCCUUCGGGUUAAAGCACUUUUAUCGGGAGCGAAAUACCAUCGGUUAAUACCCGGUGGGGCUGACGGUACGAGGAAUAAGCACCGGCUAACUUCGUGCCAGCAGCCGCGGUAAUACGAAGGGUGCAAGUUAAUCGGAAUUACUGGGCGUAAAGGGUGCGUAGGCGGUUAGUUAAGUCUGUCGUGAUCCCCGGGCUCAACCUGGGAAUGGCGAUGGAUACUGGCUGGCUAGAGUGUGUCAGAGGGGUGGAAUUUCCGGUGUAGCGGUGAAAUGCGUAGAGAUCGGAAGGAACAUCAGUGGCGGGCGGCCAUCUGGGACAACACUGACGCUGAAGCACGAAAGCGUGGGGAGCAAACAGGAAGAUACCCUGGUAGUCCACGCCCUAAACGAUGCGAACUGGAUGUUGGUCUCAACUCGG
rnacentral:rRNA from 1 species